AUGAGGGUCCGGCACGACGGGCACUCCUUCAUCCCCUGCUUGUCGUGGAGGUCGUUGCACUUGGCGCAGACCACCUGGUGGGCGCAGGGGAGGAACACCACCGACAUCUCCUCGCUCAGGCACAUGACGCACUCGCGGUCGCGCUGGAUGUCGUCGAAGUCGAGGUCCAGGGCCACCGCCCCCGCCAUCUUGGCCAGGACCUGCGCGUUGCCGCCGUUCUUUCUCCCCUCGGAGAGACGCAGGGGGCGGGUCUUGUCGUCCGUUCCCCACUUGGGAGCAGCCGCCUCUGAAGCGUCCAGGGAUACCUUCAGCUGCGAGAUCUGCUGCUCCAGGGCACGGAUCUCGCUCUUGUAUCUCUGCAUGUCGUUCUCAGCUUUGAGGUGCAGGAAAUUCUCUUCCGACCUCAGAGAUGUCUCAAUCUGACCCCGCUCUUUCCUCUCUGAGCUCACACAGGCAAUUGCCUCGGUCUUCCUAGCCUCUUCCUGUCUCCACCUUACCUGCAAGCAUUCAACAAUGGUUCAGGUCAAGAUGGAAUACACUGGAUCCACGGGUUGUACUGCAUUGUACAAAGUAACCUUCAACAACUUCGGCAAAACAUGA
rnacentral:rRNA from 1 species